GGGGCUGAUCGGUUUCGACGGUGAGGCAGGAAUCCGUUUGCGUGCGACCCGAGUGGCUCAGACUCGUUAAACGGGGCAAAAAACAGAGACGCCAACAGCGAUCUCGCUCUCGCCGCCUGAUCUAGAUCAGGUAGUAGAGAGUCAUAGCGACCAGCAAUGGCACGCAGGGCCAACUCACCGCAGCCCGGUAACAGAAGCGGAGGGUGACGGUCGGAAAGACGACUGACGGUGUGAAAGAACACUGGCAUCGGGGAAAGACCCGGCGGCGGGGCUUCGGCCCGUGCGACCCGGCGUUGUCCUAGCCGUUCGAGGGACAAACCGGGAAUGGUCGUAUCACGUGCGGUGACCCUUCAGCGGACGAGGGUUCGAUUCCCUCCAGCUCCAC
rnacentral:tmRNA from 2 species